GCCCGCGUAGCUCAAUGGAUAGAGCAACGGACUUCGGAUCCGUUGGUUGGGGGUUCGAGUCCCUCCGCGGGCG
rnacentral:tRNA from 1 species